UGGGGAAUAUUGCACAAUGGGCGCAAGCCUGAUGCAGCCAUGCCGCGUGUAUGAAGAAGGCCUUCGGGUUGUAAAGUACUUUCAGCGGGGAGGAAGGGAGUAAAGUUAAUACCUUUGCUCAUUGACGUUACCCGCAGAAGAAGCACCGGCUAACUCCGUGCCAGCAGCCGCGGUAAUACGGAGGGUGCAAGCGUUAAUCGGAAUUACUGGGCGUAAAGCGCACGCAGGCGGUUUGUUAAGUCAGAUGUGAAAUCCUCGGGCUCAACCUGGGAACGGCAUCUGAUACUGGCAAGCUUGAGUCUCGUAGAGGGGGGUAGAAUUCCAGGUGUAGCGGUGAAAUGCGUAGAGAUCUGGAGGAAUACCGGUGGCGAAGGCGGCCCCCUGGACGAAGACUGACGCUCAGGUGCGAAAGCGUGGGGAGCAAACAGG
rnacentral:rRNA from 1 species